GUCCAAUACAUCUAAAGCCAGACCUAGAAUAGGUUGGGCUUUGGUUUUUGUUUUAAAAAGCCUUGGAAUCUUUUGUCCAUGCCAUUUGCAAAUCCACCGGCUUGGCAGCCAUGCAUAAAAGCAUGGGAUCUUCCAAGCUUACCCUGCUCCAUUUUUUUUUCCUUCUCGUCUCUUUCUUCUUAUCCAUGGCAUUUGGAAGUUGGAUCAUCCAUGAAAAUAAAUAAAGGAAAGUAUU
rnacentral:misc_RNA from 1 species